GACGAACGCUGGCGGCGUGCUUAACACAUGCAAGUCGAACGGAAAGGCCCUGCUUUUGUGGGGUGCUCGAGUGGCGAACGGGUGAGUAACACGUGAGUAACCUGCCCCUGACUUUGGGAUAACUUCAGGAAACUGGGGCUAAUACCGGAUAGGAGCUCCUGCUGCAUGGUGGGGGUUGGAAAGUUUCGGCGGUUGGGGAUGGACUCGCGGCUUAUCAGCUUGUUGGUGGGGUAGUGGCUUACCAAGGCUUUGACGGGUAGCCGGCCUGAGAGGGUGACCGGCCACAUUGGGACUGAGAUACGGCCCAGACUCCUACGGGAGGCAGCAGUGGGGAAUAUUGCACAAUGGGCGGAAGCCUGAUGCAGCAACGCCGCGUGCGGGAUGACGGCCUUCGGGUUAUAAACCGCUUUCGCCUGUGACGAAGCGUGAGUGACGGUAAUGGGUAAAGAAGCACCGGCUAACUACGUG
rnacentral:rRNA from 1 species